GAUGAACGCUAGCGGCAGGCCUAACACAUGCAAGUCGAGGGGCAGCGGGGAUAAGCUUGCUUAUCCGCCGGCGACCGGCGCACGGGUGCGCAACGCGUAUAGAAUCUGCCCUGUACUGGGGAAUAGCCCAGAGAAAUUUGGAUUAAUGCCCCAUGGUAUGUAUUAGCGGCAUCGCUUAUACAUUAAAGGCUACGGUACAGGAUGACUAUGCGUCCCAUUAGUUAGUUGGUAAGGUAACGGCUUACCAAGGCAGCGAUGGGUAGGGGCCCUGAGAGGGGGAUCCCCCACACUGGUACUGAGACACGGACCAGACUCCUACGGGAGGCAGCAGUGAGGAAUAUUGGACAAUGGGCGGGAGCCUGAUCCAGCCAUGCCGCGUGCAGGAAGACGGUCCUAUGGAUUGUAAACUGCUUUUGUACGGGAAGAACAAGGGGCACGUGUGCCCCUCUGACGGUACCGUAAGAAUAAGGA
rnacentral:rRNA from 1 species